UGCAAGUUGGCGUGCAGGUGGCGCA
rnacentral:piRNA from 1 species